rnacentral:rRNA from 4 species
GGGUUGUGAGGUUAAGCGACUAAGCGUACACGGUGGAUGCCCUGGCAGUCAGAGGCGAUGAAGGGCGUGCUAAUCUGCGAUAAGCGCCGGUAAGGUGAUAUGAACCGUUAUAACCGGCGAUACCCGAAUGGGGAAACCCAGUGUGAUUCGUCACACUAUCAUUAACUGAAUCCAUAGGUUAAUGAGGCGAACCGGGGGAACUGAAACAUCUAAGUACCCCGAGGAAAAGAAAUCAACCGAGAUUCCCCCAGUAGCGGCGAGCGAACGGGGAGGAGCCCAGAGCCUGAAUCAGCAUGUGUGUUAGUGGAAGCGUCUGGAAAGGCGCGCGAUACAGGGUGACAGCCCCGUACACAAAAGCGCAUGUGCUGUGAGCUCGAUGAGUAGGGCGGGACACGUGGUAUCCUGUCUGAAUAUGGGGGGACCAUCCUCCAAGGCUAAAUACUCCUGACUGACCGAUAGUGAACCAGUACCGUGAGGGAAAGGCGAAAAGAACCCCGGCGAGGGGAGUGAAAAAGAACCUGAAACCGUGUACGUACAAGCAGUGGGAGCACAGGUUUACCUGUGUGACUGCGUACCUUUUGUAUAAUGGGUCAGCGACUUAUAUUCUGUAGCAAGGUUAACCGUAUAGGGGAGCCGUAGGGAAACCGAGUCUUAACCGGGCGUUAAGUUGCAGGGUAUAGACCCGAAACCCGGUGAUCUAGCCAUGGGCAGGUUGAAGGUUGGGUAACACUAACUGGAGGACCGAACCGACUAAUGUUGAAAAAUUAGCGGAUGACCUGUGGCUGGGGGUGAAAGGCCAAUCAAACCGGGAGAUAGCUGGUUCUCCCCGAAAGCUAUUUAGGUAGCGCCUCGUGAAUUCAUCUCCGGGGGUAGAGCACUGUUUCGGCUAGGGGGCCAUCCCGGCUUACCAACCCGAUGCAAACUGCGAAUACCGGAGAAUGUUAUCACGGGAGACACACGGCGGGUGCUAACGUCCGUCGUGAAGAGGGAAACAACCCAGACCGCCAGCUAAGGUCCCAAAGUCAUGGUUAAGUGGGAAACGAUGUGGGAAGGCCCAGACAGCCAGGAUGUUGGCUUAGAAGCAGCCAUCAUUUAAAGAAAGCGUAAUAGCUCACUGGUCGAGUCGGCCUGCGCGGAAGAUGUAACGGGGCUAAACCAUGCACCGAAGCUGCGGCAGCGAACGUAUCACCCAAGACAACUUUACGGAGUUGACGAUUGACGGAGCGAAGCGACGUCAAAGCGUUCAUUAAAGUCGAGUUGGCUUAGGGAUACGUUCGUUGGGUAGGGGAGCGUUCUGUAAGCCUGUGAAGGUGUGUCGUGAGGCAUGCUGGAGGUAUCAGAAGUGCGAAUGCUGACAUAAGUAACGAUAAAGCGGGUGAAAAGCCCGCUCGCCGGAAGACCAAGGGUUCCUGUCCAACGUUAAUCGGGGCAGGGUGAGUCGACCCCUAAGGCGAGGCCGAAAGGCGUAGUCGAUGGGAAACGGGUUAAUAUUCCCGUACUUGGUGUUACUGCGAAGGGGGGACGGAGAAGGCUAUGUUGGCCGGGCGACGGUUGUCCCGGUUUAAGCGUGUAGGUGUGUGUUCCAGGUAAAUCCGGUUCACUUUAACACUGAGGCGUGACGACGAGGCACUACGGUGCUGAAGCAACAAAUGCCCUGCUUCCAGGAAAAGCCUCUAAGCAUCAGGUAACACGAAAUCGUACCCCAAACCGACACAGGUGGUCAGGUAGAGAAUACCAAGGCGCUUGAGAGAACUCGGGUGAAGGAACUAGGCAAAAUGGUGCCGUAACUUCGGGAGAAGGCACGCUGACACGUAGGUGAAGUGAUUUACUCAUGGAGCUGAAGUCAGUCGAAGAUACCAGCUGGCUGCAACUGUUUAUUAAAAACACAGCACUGUGCAAACACGAAAGUGGACGUAUACGGUGUGACGCCUGCCCGGUGCCGGAAGGUUAAUUGAUGGGGUCAGCGUAAGCGAAGCUCCUGAUCGAAGCCCCGGUAAACGGCGGCCGUAACUAUAACGGUCCUAAGGUAGCGAAAUUCCUUGUCGGGUAAGUUCCGACCUGCACGAAUGGCGUAAUGAUGGCCAGGCUGUCUCCACCCGAGACUCAGUGAAAUUGAACUCGCUGUGAAGAUGCAGUGUACCCGCGGCAAGACGGAAAGACCCCGUGAACCUUUACUAUAGCUUGACACUGAACAUUGAGCCUUGAUGUGUAGGAUAGGUGGGAGGCUUUGAAGUGUGGACGCCAGUCUGCAUGGAGCCGACCUUGAAAUACCACCCUUUAAUGUUUGAUGUUCUAACGUGGACCCGUAAUCCGGGUUGCGGACAGUGUCUGGUGGGUAGUUUGACUGGGGCGGUCUCCUCCUAAAGAGUAACGGAGGAGCACGAAGGUUGGCUAAUCCUGGUCGGACAUCAGGAGGUUAGUGCAAUGGCAUAAGCCAGCUUGACUGCGAGCGUGACGGCGCGAGCAGGUGCGAAAGCAGGUCAUAGUGAUCCGGUGGUUCUGAAUGGAAGGGCCAUCGCUCAACGGAUAAAAGGUACUCCGGGGAUAACAGGCUGAUACCGCCCAAGAGUUCAUAUCGACGGCGGUGUUUGGCACCUCGAUGUCGGCUCAUCACAUCCUGGGGCUGAAGUAGGUCCCAAGGGUAUGGCUGUUCGCCAUUUAAAGUGGUACGCGAGCUGGGUUUAGAACGUCGUGAGACAGUUCGGUCCCUAUCUGCCGUGGGCGCUGGAGAACUGAGGGGGGCUGCUCCUAGUACGAGAGGACCGGAGUGGACGCAUCACUGGUGUUCGGGUUGUCAUGCCAAUGGCACUGCCCGGUAGCUAAAUGCGGAAGAGAUAAGUGCUGAAAGCAUCUAAGCACGAAACUUGCCCCGAGAUGAGUUCUCCCUGAGACUUAGAGUCUCCUGAAGGAACGUUGAAGACGACGACGUUGAUAGGCCGGGUGUGUAAGCGCAGCGAUGCGUUGAGCUAACCGGUACUAAUGAACCGUGAGGCUUAACCUUACAACGCCGAAG